UCCCAAGUAGCUGGGACUACAGGUGGCAUACCUGGCUAAUUAUUGUCUUUUUAGUAGAGAUGGAGUUUCGCCAUGUCGCCCGGGCUGUCCUCAAAUUCCUGGCCUCAAGUGAUCCGCCCACCUCAGCCUCCCAAAGUGCUGGGAUUACAGGGGUGAACCACUGUGCCCAGCCUGGCACCGUAUUUCUCAGCCUUUUGCUUAUGUGUAUUUCAGUCUCCACCUUUAGACUGUGAGACCCUAAAGGCAGAAAAAGGGUCAUGUACAUGUCAUGCCCCGUGGUGGCUGGUGCCCAGUCCAUACAUGCAGAUUUUAAAUAAUUCAGUGGAGUUGUCUGAGGGGGUAACUGAGGGCCAGACGAGAAAAGAAUUGCCCCAGGUCAUGAGGCAAGGUCCACAGCGCAUCUAAUCCCAGCAGGGAUGGCAAGUGCAGUUUUCAUUUCAGAGAAGCAGCCCAUACGUGUUUAGUGUAAGUGGCAAGCAGACUUGUAGGGCAGUCCCAUGACUCUUGUUUCUGGCCGUUACUAGUGCGAUUGUUAUGUCAUGUGACAAAAGAGAGAUGACCCGGAGGAGCCUACUAUGAUCUCAGGAAUCCUUCAAGAGCAGUUUUCUUUGGCCGGGGUGGAGGGGAAGUCAGAGAUGAGAAACGUGCUUUUGGAGAUAGCUUGGAGACACCUGGCCAGGAAUGUGGAUGGCCUCUGAAGCUGAGAACAGCCUCAGCUGAGAGGCAGCAAGCAAAGAGGGACCUCAGCCCUCCAACCACAAGAAAAUGAAUCCAGCCAGCAACCUGAAUGAGCUGGGAGCCGACACAUCCCAGAGCCUCCAGAAAGGAGCGCAGCCCCUGGACAUCUCUACUGCAGCCUGUGAGACUCUCCGCGGAGGACGCGGCUGAGCCAUGCUGACGUGCAGAACUUCCAGCUAUGGAAUUUGUGUUUAGGCUGUUCGGUUUGUGGUCAUUUGUUACAGAGCAAUAGAAAAAUAAUACAGUGAGUAUGUCUCAAAUAUCGCACAGGACAUGGACUGAAAAAGCAUCAGUCAAAUUUAACUGGGUCUUCUGUCAUUUUGUCUGCUAAAUCUGGCAACUUAAAUCCCAGGUAAGGCACGGACAGAGUCGGUGGGGCAUAGACUCACUCAAGAUGUCCCCAACUGGCACAGCGUUCCCCACACUGGAAGUGGUUUGCACACUCCCUCCAACCAGACAAAAAAGAGAGGGUUUCCAACGAACCCACCCAAUAGCUGCACACAAAUUGUAGCAACUUUCCUCACCUGGAGCCCAUAGAUAGAGUUCAGGGGUCUGUGACCUCAGAUGGGAAAAUCCGUACACCUUCAUUUUCACUACUGUCUAACUUAAAUAUUUCCUUCAAUUAAGAAUAUAGGCAGGAAGGGGCCCAUGGACUUCGGACUGCAUCCAUGGCACAAAAAGAUGAAGAACCGGGCUAGAGGCCAGGCCCAGUGGCUCAUGCCUAUAAUCCCAGCACUUUGGGAGGCCAAGACAAGUAAAUCUCCUGAGGUUAGGAGUUUGAAACCAGCCUGGCCAACAUGCUGAAAAUACAAAAUUACAAAAAAUACCCUGUCUCUACUGAAAAAACAAAAAUUAGCUGAAUGUAGUGGCAGGUGCCUGUAAUCCCAGCUACACAAGAGGCUGAGGCAGG
rnacentral:lncRNA from 10 species